rnacentral:lncRNA from 1 species
GCUUUCAACUGGAACAUAAUUCUCUUGAUUAUUGGUUGGUGCUGCGACACAGUAGGGAUACAGAUAAUUGUCACUGUGCACAUGCUGCUGGAAAUGUAAAAUUAUUAUCUUUAGAGAGGUUGAGUAGGGUGUUUGAGCACGAAUGUUACGCAGCUCGGGCACGUGGAAUGUGUAGAGCACUCAUCUGUUGGCUGCCUCCCUUCCUCUGCUGGCCCGGCUCGCUGGUUCUGGGCGACACCCAGCUCCGGGAGCAUCCUGCCGGUCACUCAGUGGCGAGGAAAGGACAGCAGACAACAACAACAAAAAGGAUGGGAAGUCCUGUGGAAUGAUGCCAGAAUAAUCCAAGCUCCCCUCUCCAUUCAAGGGUCCUGAAGUAAGGAAAAACCCAUUCCAGAAGUGGAAGCCCAGGGGUCUGGAAAGCUGUGUUGCUCACUGCUACCACGGUGAGAGAAGCAACCUAGAAAUGGGAAACAAGAUAGAAAAACAGAAACCAAAAUCCUGAAAUCUCCACUGACAUGGACACUGAGAUCUUGUCCUCUGGAUGACAUAGCCAUCACCCUCAGGCUAACCUGCCAUCUGUGAUGAGAAGACUCCCUGAUGAAGUUCUUCCCAACCAGCUUUCACCUAUGCCUCCCAAAAGGAGAGAUCUCCACUUCUCUCAGAAACGCUAUCUUUUGCAGAAUCAAGUGGCUUUUAAAGUGCGUCUUUCUCUCACCCCUGGUUUGAGUGUGAAUAUGAUUGCCACCAUCUUGGAUCCGAUGGAAGACACAGCACCUUGAGGAAAGUUGAACAAGAGAGAUUGCUGCUACUGUGGAUCUUCAAUGCCAGCUCCUUACUUCUUAUAUUUGGACAGGGACGUGAUUAAAU